rnacentral:piRNA from 1 species
UAGUUGAUGUCACAGGCCCAGGAGAGACCA